rnacentral:rRNA from 1 species
UGGGGAAUUUUGGACAAUGGGCGAAAGCCUGAUCCAGCAAUGCCGCGUGUGUGAAGAAGGCCUUCGGGUUGUAAAGCACUUUUGUCCGGAAAGAAAUCCUUGGCUCUAAUACAGUCGGGGGAUGACGGUACCGGAAGAAUAAGCACCGGCUAACUACGUGCCAGCAGCCGCGGUAAUACGUAGGGUGCAAGCGUUAAUCGGAAUUACUGGGCGUAAAGCGUGCGCAGGCGGUUUGCUAAGACCGAUGUGAAAUCCCCGGGCUCAACCUGGGAACUGCAUUGGUGACUGGCAGGCUAGAGUAUGGCAGAGGGGGGUAGAACUCCACGUGUAGCAGUGAAAUGCGUAGAGAUGUGGAGGAAUACCGAUGGCGAAGGCAGCCCCCUGGGCCAAUACUGACGCUCAUGCACGAAAGCGUGGGGAGCAAACAGGAUUAGAUACCCUGGUAGUCCACGCCCUAAACGAUGUCAACUAGUUGUUGGGGAUUCAUUUCCUUAGUAACGUAGCUAACGCGUGAAGUUGACCGCCUGGGGAGUACGAUCGC